CGCUGGCUACUAAGGAGGAUGGAGUGUCGAGGCAAUGGUCAGUCUGCUACAGCAGCACCACAUCAUCCAUCAUUGUGGGACAGGAUGGGGACAACAUCCUGGUGUUCAGAGUGGAAUAGUGUGAACAUGUGAGCAUGAGCAUUGUUAUCCAGUUGACGUGGCAACAGCACCAGUCGGACCCCCAGGAGCCUCAGUCCAGGACAACCCUUCCCCUCCCAUGACCCAUAGCUCCACCCCUUUGACCUCCUGCCUCAAAGCUUCGUUGAACAAUACUGGUCUGCUGGAAUAUCUGAGCAUGUUGAGUUUUCACAAGCUGUUCUCAACAACAGGACAACCCUUCCCCUCCCAUGACCCAUAGCUCCACCCCUUUGACCUCCUGCCUCAAGGCUUCAUUGAACAAUACCAUUCUGCUGGAAUGUCUGAGCAUGUUGAGUUUUCACAAGCUGUUCUCAACAACUGCCAUCUCCGUGUCGAUCGUUAAGCACUCGAGCCUGAGUAGUUUGUUAAGCUCCAGUGCUGAAAAAUAAAAAGUUGGAUAACUUGUUACAUGCUUUGUGGGACUAACAGAGCAACAGCGAAUAAUGGUAGAAAAUCAAGAAACAGUUGAAGAGUUAAAAUUCGAAGCAUAAGCUAUCCACGGGGGCUACUUCUGAUUUCAAUAGUAGAACCAUAAUGGACAAUCCUGAUUUGUCCUCUAAUGCGUCCAAAAUGUUUAAAACGAACGUGCUUUUGACGCAGUUGCUGACAAAAAACUUUUGUUAUGAACACUCAUAACAUGAUUAAUACAUCGGUUGUGGUUUAGGCGCAAAUUCUGCCCAUCAUCGUUCACAAGGUGCUUAAGGUUUUGUUACGAGCACUUCACACUCCAAGACAAAACGGCCUCGCAUUGAAUAUACACUAGAUAAAGCGUUGAAAAAUGACAGCAGUUUUGUUGUGUGAUCAAGUAUGCCCUUUGACUCUCAACCCGACAUAAGGUAGAACUCAAACUCGGCCCACAGCAAUAUCAGCGAGGCUAGCAGUUAUGUUGUGUGGUCCAGUAUGCCCUUUGACUCUCAACCCGACAUUAGGUAGAACUCAAACUAAAUCCUCAGCAAUAUCAGCGAGGCCAGCGUGUCAUCUCGCCUUCUUCAGCCUCCGCAAACAGUAUUAGCCAACAAGACAAACAUCAUUGAAGUGAAUGUUGAUGGCAAUCCGCACCCCCUUCUUCAACAAAUACUACAACUCGCUCAAGACAUUAAGUAGCAAGACGUCUUGCAUCAGCCUAGCACCCACAUCUUCUCCAAUGUUGGCUUCACACAGCAGAGCCUUGAUGAGUCCGACUAUCGAUGCUGGACAUGGACAACUUGUUCCAGACGAGUUGCUCAAGUGGAAAAGAUUUGUCAUUAUACAGCAGAUAGAGCAGGCGUUAAGUAUCUUUCUGUAAAUGUGACUGACUUCGAUAUGUUUUUCUGAAAUAAUGUGAACCUGACGCCCAAGGAGCAGUCUGUGAUUGACGCCAUUUAGCAGCAGCUGUUUACUGACAUGCCCGGUUUUGGGUUUGUGGACUUUGGCAUCUGGACUUGCACCAUCUCUGUCUGCAUCCCAUUAAAGGUAGCCACAGCAUUAACAACAACAGGUAGUAUUUCAGCCUAGCUCUGUGAAAACAGGGCUUAAUGCAUGUGGAUAGUGUUGUUCCAGAAAAGCAUGUAAAGUUUGCUCAGGCAAAUCAGAGACAACACUUUGGGAAUAAACUUUUAAACUAAAAAUCACAUAAAAGCAUAAAAUGUCAUAACUGAUUAGAUGUACAGACUGCACAUGCUAAUCUGGGACAACACAAGUCACAUGCAUUAUGCACCGUUUUUACAUUUUUCAUGAAUUGGUAAAUAACUGUGUAUACCCCUAAUGAAAAAUGUGUUCACCCAACAGCCUUUGAACUGAUAUCGUAUGAAGUAAGCAGUAUGUUUAAUGUUUUUACUUUUUGUUCUAUAUCAUUCUAGGUUAAGGGUUAAGGUAGCAUAGCUUUGGCGUGGUAUUUAACAAUCAAGUUGUAAAUACAUAGGUCGCUUUACAUAUUGCAUUAUAUUAUCUGAUUGUCCAUGCAAUAUUUUAAGUUUCUCUAAAUUUUCGCCACAUUUUUGGUUCUAUAUUUUUGGACACCUGCAGUUUUGGAAUAUGUUUGUUAUCAACAUUUUUCGACAAUCAUUUAUUUUUAUUUUUCAAAACUUUCUUAAAACUUAGAUUAAUUACGGUAGUAUAGAUUCAAUAUCACGUACAGUGAAUAGUUUUAAGCAGAAUAUGCAAUAUUAACACGUACAAUUAUAAAACCCUGUUAGCAAGAUAGAGUAUCGUAGACUGAAGUAACCAUAGACGUCCAUCUGUAUUUCAGCAUUUCUGUCUAAUCCCUAGGAAACAACAUUUGUGAUCAAGUACUCAUACACUGACAGUUUUAAACUCAUAUCUAUUGAUUCCUAUGAUAUGCCAUACAGUUGGUAAUCUUACAUUUAAACUUUAAAGUUAGAAAAAGUUUUACAUUUAAAGUUGUAUAGUUUCACAUUUAAGUUGCUUGACUCAUGUUUAACAUGGUAUACUCUAACAUAGUGUCACAUUAAAAAUUAGAUUGUCUCAAAUUAAAAAUUGUACCGUCUCACAUUAAAAAUUGUAUAGUAUCAAAUGUUAACUUUUCCUUCUUAGCAAACAUUAUAAGCGAACAAGAUGAACAUCAUUGAAGUCAAUGUUGAUGACAAUCCUGACCCCUUUUUGCACAAAGACAAUAAUUGGCUAAAAAAAAUUCAGCCAGAAGACAUUUUGCGUCAGUCUAGUACGCCACCAAUGAACAUCCUCUAGCAAGGCGGCUACAUUAACACUUCAAAAUCACAGAGCCUUGGUGAUUUUUUUUACUUCCGUCUCAGCUUUGAUGUCGCAAAGCAACAAUUCAAUGCUGUGCAUGAAACACUUGUUCCAGACGACUUGCUCGAGUGGAAACGAUCUGAUACAGCAGAUAGAGCAGGCGUUGAGUGACUUUCUGUAUCUGUGACUGACCUCAAUAUGUUGAUCUCGAAUAAUGCGAACCUUACGCCCUAGGAGCAGUCUGUGAUUGACGCCAUUUAGCAGCAGCUGUUUACUGACAUGCCCGGUUUUGGGUUUGUGGACUUUGGCAUCUGGACUUGCACCAUCUCUGUCUGUAUCCCAUUAAAGGUAGCCGCAGCAUUAACAACAACAGCACGAGCUGUUGUUGGACAUUGCCGGGUUUGGGGUGGCGACGUCAGUGUCGGGACUCGCUCCAACUCUGUCUAUAGCUUGGUUGCAGCAGCACCAGUAGCUGCAACAACAAUAAUAAAUGCAAGUAGUCAUUGAGUCAGAGUCUUGGAAAAUAGUGCUUAAUGAAUGUGAGUGUAAAGUGUCUUCCCAAAUUAGCUUUAACUUGUUUUCUGCGCAGAAGACACUUCAUUUAAACAAAAAAUCCAUAAAUGAGGAAAGUGUUGUCCUUGUUUAUCCUCUGUGGACUCAUCUGGGAUGACACUUCAUGCACAUGUUGUCCUUGUUUAUCCUCUGCAGACUCAUCUGGGAUGACACUUUAUGCACAUGUUGUCCUUGUUUAUCCUCUGUGGACUCAUCUGUGAUGACACUUCAUGCACAUGUUGUCCUUGUUUAUCCUCUGUGGACUCAUCUGGGCUGACACUUCAUGCACAUGUUGUCCUUGUUUAUCCUCUGUGGACUCAUCUGAGAUGACACUUUAUGCACAUGUUGUCCUUGUUUAUCCUCUGUGGACUCAUCUGAGAUGACACUUCAUGCACAUGUUGUCCUUGUUUAUCCUCUGCGGACUCAUCUGAGAUGACACUUCAUGCACAUGUUGUCCUUGUUUAUCCUCUGCGGACUCAUCUGAGAUGACACUUUAUGCACAUGUUGUCCUUGUUUAUCCUCUGUGGACUCAUCUGUGAUGACACUUCAUGCACAUGUUGUCCUUGUUUAUCCUCUGUGGACUCAUCUGGGAUGACACUUUAUGCACAUGUUGUCCUUGUUUAUCCUCUGAGGACUCAUCUGGGAUGACACUUCAUGAACAUGCAUAAAGGCAUGUAUUCCCAGAACAGGGUUCAUAUAGUUCUAUAAACCUUCUUCUGAUCUUUGUGGGGAAAAGCUAUGAAAAGUGUGUUUUUAAAUUGGCCAAAGUGGGUGAAUAAAUACCUUAUCUAACAGUUUACAUCAAACCAGUUUUAAUCAUACAAGGUGGAGGCAUAGUUUUUUCUGUUUUUGGGCGGAAAUCCAGCAAAUAAAAGGGCGUUGUAUUGGAAUUACAUUGGACAUUAUGUUUGUUACUUCUCAUAUGAAUGUGUGCCUGUUGGUAUGUUCAUUAUUACCCAGUAACAAAUUAAAGAGGGAGUAUAUUGGAAUCACCUUGGCCAUAUGUAUGUCUAUUGUAAACACAAGCUUAUCUGCAGGCAUUAUUCUACUAAUGAUUCCAUGUAAAUACAGACCUAUUAGAUGAUUUUCAAUUAUAAAUCAUUUAAAUUGAUUUCAACUAAAGAAAAUGCAGAUACAUUUCAAGGAAUAAUGUUACACUUAAGGAAUAUAUUUUUUAAGUGUACAUUAAACACAUAUGAUGUUUAUUUGAUUUUCAAAGGUCCAUCAUUUCUCUUAAAACAACAUAAGCUAAAGUUGAGAGAGAGAAAGAUAGGUUACAACAGCAGGACAUGCAAACAUUGAUGCUUCAGCUUCAAUAGCAACAUCAGCAGAAGCAACAACAGUGUUCACAAUUAAGCAAUCAACAGUUUUAUGGACAACGACCUUAAAAUGACACCUUAUCAAUGAACAUGAUGCCCUUUCCGGAAUGAACAGUGGCACUGCGAUUAAUGUGACCCUUCAGAGAAAAGGGAUUCCAGGACCAAUAUCACCCCAGUAUCAAUCAGCGCUCCAACAAUAGCCGCCCCCAGCCCAUGCCUUGUGAGCACUUGGGAAGGCGUCAAGAUUCCCAUGGGGUCUUAACUAUGUUGUCCCGGGGCUUCUCCCAGCAGCAGUGGAACAACCUGGGGUCCCAGCAGGGGAUAUCACACUAUAACAACGGUCACCUAUAAUUGUCUGGUGGCGUUCAGCUUCAGACAUUGCAAAAUCAGCUUUAUUCGUUCAGCGAGCCCACAGUAUCCAAACAACAAAGCCAUCCGCACAGGAACAACAACAUCACGCGGAUCAGCCAUCUCAAAUGAUAGUUGCCUUGAUGCGCUUCUCAUCUUGCCAUGCGACUCCCUGGUUAACAGCAGGUCAACCCGCCAUACAGUGUGGAAUCACAGAUCCAAUAUCUGAAACACAACCACUUUCCAGCUGACUGGGCCAUGAUGGAGAUACCGAAAAACACUAAGAUACCAAGCCGCGGCUUGCUACCUUGCCCCGUGUCCACCCCACCCAGAAGUCAGACCCCUCCGUCUUCAACCAUGCCACGUAACCACAGGGGCGUUAACUAGGACUUGAACCAAGACAGGGACUUGAAUUGCGAGACAGUUUGGGAGGUCCUGAAACAAUUUUUCUCGUUCAGAACUGCUCAGGAGGGACAGUACUCUCUGUCGGAUUAUCUGGGGGCGUCCUUGUCUUCAAUUCAGUCCCCGGUGUCCACUCUGGUCCCAUGGGAAUGUACUCGAUCUCCAGUAGAGCUACCAAAACCAACAAAGCAACUACCCGCAGAAAACUUGCUAGUUUACCCAAAACAUUUAGCACAGCAGGGAAAUGCAAAAGGCCAAACCCUUAACCAAAAGGCAGUAGCAUAAACUCUUAUAAGGGGCAGUCCGGUUUGCCGCAAAGUGAGCCCAAAAUGUUUGGCACCCCAGCAACAUCACGAGGUUACGUACAAAAUUCGGAUUGUUCAAGAACAAACCCUGAACCCAUCUUUCGGAGCAGGAAAUCUUAGCGAGGAACAAUUAUGGUGGAUAUCAAACCUGCCCAAACAAAAAAAACAACCUCAGGCACACCAACAGUUUUCAAGGCCGCAACCUUAAGCAGAACAGAAGAAAUGCUGACUAGAAGUUUGUUGAGGAUGGACAGUGAGGAAAGUGAAUAGGAUUUAGCUAUAAGACAAGUUAGGAAAAACACGGUGAAAUCAAUCAUGUCAUACCUGUGUCAGCUAGAGUUGAAGUCAUUUAUAGUGGAUGUUGUUGCACUUAGGGAGUGACAGACGAAACGCAGGAUGGUGCUUUUUGUAUUUCAAUGAAGGGUUAGGGGUUCAUGAACGUGUAUCAAGCCAAACCUCUAUUUGUAUUAUGCCAAGGGCCUGUCUAUGAGAUAGCAUGGCUUAAUGCAUGUGUGUUUAGUGGCAGUCCACAAAGACUAAUCAGGGACGAUAUUGUUUGCCCUGACUAGAUUUCUCGUUUGGAAAAGACUACAUUUAAACACAAUUUCCAUAAAAGCAGAGAGUUUUGUCACUGAUAAGGACUGCAUUUUCUACCCGGCACUUUACUCACAUGAAUUAAGCAUGGUUUUCCUAUUGAACAUUUAACAUUGACAUUUGAAUCAUUCAUGCAAAGUGGCUGCUUGAUCAAGCUAGCACAAAAUCUUCAUAUUAGUCAUUGAGACCAAGACAUAUUACUGCCCGCCAGAUUGAUUGAAUAGACAAUAACUGGUUCAUGGCAUUUGGAUUGUACUACAAUAACAUGUUGUUAAGUUUUUAGGUGAAAACACCUGACUUAGUAUCCACUAUUAAAUAAUUGUUGCAAACAUUUUGCUACACUCAUCAAAGUAUUUUUGGGGGGAUGUAAUAUAAAAUGUUAUAAUAUUAAAAUGGCCAAGAUGCAAAUAAGAUAUGUCAGAUUAUGUUGCAAACAUGCAUUAUUCAGAGCAAGUGUUAAAAAUCAUCAUGUUUUACGAGAUUUUUUUUACUAAUUCAAUGCUUUCCACAGGCCAUUUAAGAGUAAUUUGUGAAGGGAGGGGGCUUGAAUACUGAAAUCAGAGUCUCCCUGAUGUUUGAAAUUUAUGUAUCCGAUUAAUGUCUUUUUUCAGUAACUGAAACUUGACCUUUUGGCGAUCAUGCACAGUUUGCAAAUCCUUGCCGUCUCAUGUAUACAUUUGUUGCUAGAUUACGUAGUUUCGGAUCUAUAUAAAUAAUUGUACAUAUAGAGUAUUUUAUAGAGUAACCUUUUUUAAAUUCUUAGAUGAUACAGAAAGUUCACGUUAAUGAACAUUUUGUUUGAAGUUUGUUUACUUUUUUAAGGAUAAUGGCAUAUUUAUUGAGGAUACAACUCUGCCAAAAUGUCCUUUUGUUAUGUUGUUUAUAUAUAUACUUGCUAAUGUGCAAUGCAUUGUGUACAGUAAAGUUGGCAGAAAAAGUGUUGAAAUGUCUCAAAUUGCAGACUUUGUAACAAUAUUAAAUAGUUAAUUUGUUCCCCAGAUGUCAGAGGAAUAUUCUGUUUAGUUUGAAAGAUAGGAUACAGUCAGAAGAAAGUGUAUUCAUUUCAUGCAUAGUAAUUGUUUUAUGUUUUGAUGUUAUGUGUAGUUGAUAUUAAACUUGUGUUCAAUGUAUUAUUUCACUCAUGUGAAUAAUCAUAGGAAUAACACAUACUUAUAGGCGCUAUACUAUUUAAUGAUGUUACUACGCUGGUGGCUCAAGUAAGACUGUAUCAGUCUCGUGGCUUGUGCUUUUUCGCAUCACACUCGAGGCUCGCAUCUCGUGUGAUACGUCAUGACACAAGUCACUCGUUUGAUACAAACUCUUGGAACAAUUGACUAGCAUAAUAUUCCGCAUAUAAAUCUGUUUUGUAAAUGUCGACAACUAAAGUACUACAGCUUAGGUUUUAAAUAACAAAUAAACGACACAUUGUUAACUAAAAUGCUAUCAAUUGUUUCGUCGGAAAAAUACUGCAUGAUAUUUAUGUCAGGAGUACCAACACAGAAAAAUAAAAUCUUAACAUCCUUUUUCUUGAAAUGAAAAUUAACACAUUUAGAUUUAGAAAAUAAUAUGUUAUUCUAAUCUAGAAAGGUAUUUUAAAUAGGUAAGGUCUUCUCGCGAUGAAGUAUAUACUUAAUUUGAAAUACUGGAAAUAGAAUUAACGUCGUGAUACAUAUAUAGUACAAUAAAAGCAUAGUAAUUUUUAACGAAACCCAUAUCAUAAGAUUUGUAUAUACUCACUUCAUGUUGACGAAAUGCCUAUUCUUUUUGAAAAAAAAUACCGUGUGCAGUCGAAUUAUUUUUUGUGGAUUUUCUAGACAUUUUAUUCAAUGUACAUACACAUUUAUGUAUAAUACUUUAUAUUUUGUAUAACAUUCAAAGUACCAUGUUUUAACACUUAAUACGUGUCCUUUUAUGUCGGUCAUUCAAAGUACCAUGUUUUAACACUUAAUACGUGUCCUUUUAUGUCGGUCAUUGAGCCCAUUGAGCCGCAUUCUGGGAAAAUGUGACUUAAUGCAUGUUGGUUAAGUGUUGUCCCAGAUUGGCAGUCCUCACAUGCUCAUUUGGGACGACAGUUAUCUCUUUAAUGUAUUUUUCGUUUUCAAGAAGUAUCUUUUUUUGCGAAAUCAAGUUUCUGAAAGUGUCGUUGGCGAUAACCGGGUGAAUGUUAGGAUUGCACGGGCUUAUCCUGGACGACACUUUACGCACAUGCAUUACCUCCCUUUUUCCGAGAGCGCGGCUCAUAUAAAAGUUGAUUAAAAUUCAGAAUGACGACAGUUCCUUAAGAUAUAUCCUCAGUAGAUAUUGUAUGUGGAACCAAAGCAUGUUAAGGAAAUAAACAAAACCACAACACUUU